rnacentral:rRNA from 1 species
UACGAAGGGGGCUAGCGUUGCUCGGAUUGACUGGGCGUAAAGGGCGCGUAGGCGGUUCGUACAGUCAGACGUGAAAUUCCUGGGCUCAACCUGGGGGCUGCGUUUGAUACGUGCGGACUUGAGUGCGGAAGAGGGUCGUGGAAUUCCCAGUGUAGAGGUGAAAUUCGUAGAUAUUGGGAAGAACACCAGUGGCGAAGGCGGCUCACUGGACCGGUUCUGACGCUGAUGCGCGAAAGCGUGGGGAGCAAACGGG